CCUACGUGAGGCAGCAGUAGGGAAUUUUCGUCAAUGGGCGCAAGCCUGAACGAGCAAUGCCGCGUGAACGAGGAAGGUCUUCGGAUCGUAAAGUUCUGUUGAAGGGGAAAAAGAGCGGAGAGAGGAAAUGAACUCCGAUUGAUAUUACCCUUCGAGGAAGUCACGGCUAACUACGUGCCAGCAGCCGCGGUAAUACGUAGGUGGCAAGCGUUGUCCGGAUUUACUGGGUGUAAAGGGCGUGCAGCCGGAGAGACAAGUCAGAUGUGAAAUCCACGGGCUCAACCCGUGAACUGCAUUUGAAACUGUUUCCCUUGAGUGUCGGAGAGGUAAUCGGAAUUCCUUGUGUAGCGGUGAAAUGCGUAGAUAUAAGGAAGAACACCAGUGGCGAAGGCGGAUUACUGGACGAUAACUGACGGUGAGGCGCGAAAGCGUGGGGAGCAAACAGGAUUAGAUACCCGGGUAGUC
rnacentral:rRNA from 1 species